UACGUAGGAUGCAAGCGUUGUCCGGAAUUAUUGGGCGUAAAGAGCGCGCAGGCGGUGUAUCAAGUCAGAUGUGAAAGAGGCCGGCUUAACCGGCAAGGGUCAUUUGAAACUGAUAGACUAGAGUGCAGCAGAGGAUAGUGGAAUUCCCGGUGUAGUGGUGAAAUGCGUAGAUAUCGGGAGGAACACCAGUGGCGAAGGCGACUAUCUGGGCUGCAACUGACGCUGAGGCGCGAAGGCUAGGGUAGCAAACAGG
rnacentral:rRNA from 1 species